AUCUAACUGCCGUAGUACAGUACACGGUUAAACCGUUUGGUUUUCGACCACUACGACCCGGGUUCGAUUCCCGCAUUGGACA